rnacentral:rRNA from 1 species
AAUGAACGCUGGCGGCAGGCCUAACACAUGCAAGUCGAGCGAAGUCUUCGGACUUAGCGGCGGACGGGUGAGUAACGCGUGGGAACAUGCCCUUUGGUGCGGAAUAGCCCCGGGAAACUGGGAGUAAUACCGCAUGUGCCCUUCGGGGGAAAGAUUUAUCGCCAAAGGAUUGGCCCGCGUUGGAUUAGGUAGUUGGUGGGGUAAUGGCCUACCAAGCCGACGAUCCAUAGCUGGUUUGAGAGGAUGAUCAGCCACACUGGGACUGAGACACGGCCCAGACUCCUACGGGAGGCAGCAGUAGGGAAUCUUAGACAAUGGGCGCAAGCCUGAUCUAGCCAUGCCGCGUGAUCGAUGAAGGCCUUAGGGUUGUAAAGAUCUUUCAGUGGGGAAGAUAAUGACGGUACCCACAGAAGAAGCCCCGGCUAACUCCGUG